CUGGGAACUAUUCCUAUAAGUGGAGGGAUUUCAAAGAGGCCUAGUGGCAUCUUGGGGCGGUGGCAGUCUGUCAUCUUUGUGGUAAUGGGUUCUUGGGUAUAUACUUCUAUAGAACUGAAGCAGGCAGUCCUGUGUACCCCGGGACACUGUGCAGAGCGUUUGCCCACCUCGUGGAGUGGUCUGGAGCUCAGAUGCAACAGUCCCUGCUCACAGAGACCCUUACCCCGGGGACCCCCGUGCGGACAGGCGGACACAUGCAUAAGCAGAUAAAUUAGGAAGGCAAGGUCACAAGCAAGCGGGGAGGGUAAUCCCUACACACUUGACUUGAUGUUUAAAGAUUUAGAGAUUAAAAGACAAUCUUGACCUUGACCUGUGUUCUCACCUAAAAAUGAGAAUAGCUUCCAUUACUGUUGAGCGGACCCUGUGGGGGGAGUGCUCCUCUGUCCAUCUAGCUUCUCAGUGCUUCUGUGAAAUUUUACUUCUGUUUUUCAGGUGGGGAAACUGAAGCACAGAGGAGCCAAGCAACUUGUUCAAGGUCACACAACCAGUAAGUGAUAGAGGCACAACCUGACCCAGGUGGACCAGCUACCAAGCCCCAUGCUUACCAACUAAGCUGAGCUGUUUCCUGGCGGGCGACAACGAUGAUGAAGACAGUGACAACUUUUGCACGGGGUUCUUGUGAGCAUCAAGUGCAUUAACACAUGUGACACGAGUGAAGCACUGAGAGAUACAGUCAGGAAGGAGACCAGUCCUGGUGCUCCGGGACCUCCCCGUCCCCGAGUGAGAGAGAGAGAGAGAGACUCCUCCACAAUCCAGAAGUGGCAGGACAGGGACCAGCAGAGGCAUUGGGAACCACCUGGCACCUGGACCUAAAUGCCAUUAGGAGCAGAACCCCUUUCCUGCACCUUCUCCUUGCAGACAGGUGGCUCUGGAAAGCAUACAUCUGCCUCUUCUUCGUGGCACCUCCUCCAGGGAGCCCUCAGGCCCAGUGCUUGCUCUGGGCUCCCCAGUGUGUCCUGUCAUGCCCAAGUGUCAGUCUAGCCCUAGACAGUUCAGGGUGAACGAAGGUCACGGCUCCCUGCAUGUAGUAGUUGCUCAACUAAAUGUUUACUGAAGGAACAAAUAAAUGAAUAAACAUCU
rnacentral:lncRNA from 1 species